AAUAUACUUGGUUAUGGGUUAAUAUCCGAUUUUCAUGAUUUCUUUUGAUAUUGAUUGAAUGUAAAUUUGGAAGUUAUAUGAAUUAUAGAAUCAAAGCAUGAAUGUUUGAUUUAAAAUUUUACUAGAUGAAUAUUAUUGAAAUGAAAGUUUGUUCUGAGUUGUAUUUGUUCGGUAAUGCCUCGUAACCUAAUCUGGCGACGGAUACGGGUUAGGGGUGUUAAAUUGGGGGAUAUUUCAUUGGAUAUGCCGAAAGGUCGAAAGGAUACAGUAUCUAUUGUCCAUCUCAUAGCACUAGAAUUAUGGAAUUGAGAAAUUGGUUAUCAUACAUAAC
rnacentral:lncRNA from 1 species